rnacentral:tRNA from 1 species
GUUUUAAUAGUUUAAAUAAAAACAUUGGUCUUGUAAACCAAAAUUAAAAUAUCUUUUUAAAACU